rnacentral:rRNA from 1 species
AUGUUCGACCUGUGGAGAAACAAGCUCAGUGGUUCAAUCCCUGUCUGGAUCUCGCAGCACGGAAAGCUUGAGAUCUUGUACUUGUAUGACAAUGGACUCACCGAGGAGCUGUCGUACAACAUCACUACGGUGAAUUUGAUUAAGAUAGACUUGUCGGCAAACAAACUCACUGGCUGCAUACCAGAAGACUUUGGGACACUCAAGAAAAUAACCAUUAUCAUCCUAUACAACAAUGAGUCCAUAGGCCCCAUCCCUAGAAGCAUUGACCUCAUUCGCAACCUCCAAUACAUCCAGUUGUUUGACAAUAUGCUCUCAGGUGAGGUGCCACAAGAACUUGGGAAGCACUCGCCGCUUGGAAAUAUUGAGGUCUACAACAAAAGCUUGUCUAGCUCACUACUGGAGGAGAUAUUCUCUCACGGGAAACUAUUCAACAUAGUAGUUUCUAAAACAGCUUCUUCGGCGAGCUCCCAGCGAGCAUUGGCAACUGCCUCUUACUGGAUAACAUUAUGCUCGGUAACAACUUCUCAGGGGAGUUUCCGGUGA